UGGUUGGAAAGAGAAGAGACCAGAGGUCUGUUUCUGAAAAUCUCACAUCAGAGAACAAAGUGAAGACGCAUCUAUGUAUAGAACCUGGAAACGUUGGUCCGGGGCACUCCUAGACCUCACUUAGAUUUUGUGCAUCUUCCCUAACACUUCUGCCCAGGAUCAUGCUUUUCUUCGGCUACAAAUACUUAAUAUUCUCCUCACCACCCCCUCCUACAUCUCUCCUUCUUGAAUUUGUUUCUUGUCUAUUCCCAGCCACCCCGGAUGUGGAUGUGUGAGAAGCCAGCCCACUUCGUGGAUGAGCGUAGGUAUCUGCCUUCCAGAGACCGGGGCUGCAGGCCGAAACGCCCGAACUACUACCAGAAGACACACACCUGUUUGUGAAUGGCGGCUUCUGCAUCACUUAGCUUUGUUGGGGGUGAAGGGAGAUCCUAGUAUAAGAUUUGUUGAUUUUCUCAGAGUAUAGCUGACGACAAAGGCCUGUGAAUUCCCAAACACUUGCCCUUCGACGUGAGGAACCUUCUGCAGUAUCUCCAGUGAGACGUUGCCCAGGGGAGUCAUGCACAAGUGGGCAGUCUCUUAUUCUGACCAGAAAUGAGAAUGGAGAUAAUACCUACCUCACAGCACUAUUGUGAGUGUUAAAUGAAAAAAUGUAUGGAAAUUUGCCACCAGUAACAAAAGAACACGGGGACAAGUGACUAUUGCAAAGUUAAAGUAUGUGCAGUACCUGGAAAGUAUGGAAAGUACCUGACACAAGAAUGUAUUGCUAAUGCCCAGAGAAGUGGAGAGGCAGGUCAUCUCUGUUGCCAGCUUAAAGUCUCCUGGUGCAUUUUCUCUCAAAAAGUGAAGCAAACCCGUUCACUGGAAUGUGAGGAACAUAGUGAUGAGGCACCAGGAACCCCCAUCCGGCCCCCCGCAGAAGCCCUCCAAAGGAAGGAAAAGGGACUCUUGGGUGGCUGGUAAGAUGGCCGAAUAAGAACAGCUCCAGUCUGCAGUUCCCAGCAAGAUCAACA